rnacentral:rRNA from 1 species
GACGAACGCUGGCGGCGUGCUUAACACAUGCAAGUCGAACGGACAGGCGCUGCUUGCAGGGUAUUCGCGUGGCGAACGGGUGAGUAACACGCGGGUGAUCUGCCCUGCACUUCGGGAUAAGCCUGGGAAACUGGGUCUAAUACCGGCUAGGAGCUAUUUUUAGUGUGAUGGUUGGAAAGUUUUGUCGGUGUAGGCUGAGAUCGCGGCCUAUCAGCUUGUUGGGGGGGUAAUGGCCUACCAAGGCGGCGACGGGUAGCCGGCCUGCGUGGGUGGACGGCGACAUUGGGACUGAGAGACGGCCGAGACUCCGACGGGAGGCAGAAGGGGGGAAGAUUGCAGAAGGGGCGCAAGCCGGAUGCAGCGACGCCGCGGGGGGGAUGACUGUCUUAGGGUUGAAAACUCAUUUCGCUAGGGACGAAGCAUUUUGUGACGGUACCUAGAUAAGAAGCACCGGCUAACUACGUG